rnacentral:rRNA from 1 species
CCUACGGGGGGCAGCAGUGAGGAAUAUUGGUCAAUGGGCGGAAGCCUGAACCAGCCAAGUCGCGUGAGGGAAUAAGGCCCUACGGGUCGUAAACCUCUUUUGCCGGGGAGCAAAGGGCGCCACGUGUGGCGUUUUGCGAGUACCUGAAGAAAAAGCAUCGGCUAACUCCGUGCCAGCAGCCGCGGUAAUACGGAGGAUGCGAGCGUUAUCCGGAUUUAUUGGGUUUAAAGGGUGCGCAGGCGGAAUGUCAAGUCAGCGGUAAAAUUUCGGGGCUCAACCCCGUCGUGCCGUUGAAACUGGCGUUCUUGAGUGAGCGAGAAGUAGGCGGAAUGCGUGGUGUAGCGGUGAAAUGCAUAGAUAUCACGCAGAACUCCGAUUGCGAAGGCAGCAUACCGGCGCUCAACUGACGCUCAUGCACGAAAGCGUGGGUAUCGAACAGGAUUAGAUACCCGGGUAGUC